rnacentral:rRNA from 1 species
CCUACGGGUGGCAGCAGUCGAGAAUCAUUCACAAUGGGGGAAACCCUGAUGGUGCGAAGUCGCGUGGGGGAAUGAAGGUCUUCGGAUUGUAAACCCCUGUUAUGUGGGAGCAAAUUAAAAAGAUAGUACCACAAGAGGAAGAGACGGCUAACUCUGUGCCAGCAGCCGCGGUAAUACAGAGGUCUAAAGCGUUGUGCGGAAUCACUGGGCGUAAAGGGUGCGUAGGCUGUUUCGUAAGUCCGGUGUGAAAGGCGCGGGCUCAACCCGCGGACGGCACAUGAUACUGCGAGACUAGAGUAAUGGAGAGGGAAGCGGAAUUCGCGGUGUAGCAGUGAAAUGCGUAGAUAUCGAGAGGAACACUCGUGGCGAAGGCAGGUUCCUGGACAUUAACUGACGCUGAGGCACGAAGGCCAGGGGAGCGAAAGGGAUUAGAUACCCCUGUAGUC